rnacentral:rRNA from 1 species
CAGUAGCCGCGGGAAAACGUAGGGUGCAAGCGUUAAUCGGAAUUACUGGGCGUAAAGCGUGCGCAGGCGGUUAUAUAAGACAGAUGUGAAAUCCCCGGGCUUAACCUGGGAACUGCAUUUGAAACUGUCAGGCUGGAGUCUUGUAGAGGGGGGUGGAAUUCCAGGUGUAGCGGUGAAAUGCGUAGAGAUCUGGAGGAAUACCGGUGGCGAAGGCGGCCCCCUGGACAAAGACUGACGCUCAGGUGCGAAAGCGUGGGGAGCAAACAGGAUUAGAUACCCCUGUAGUCCCUGUCUCUUAUAC